rnacentral:rRNA from 1 species
UACCAGACUCCUACGGGAGGCAGCAGUGAGGAAUAUUGGUCAAUGGGCGGGAGCCUGAACCAGCCAAGUCGCGUGAGGGAAGACGGCCCUACGGGUUGUAAACCUCUUUUGUCGGGGAGCAAAGCGAACCACGUGUGGUUCAUUGAGAGUACCCGAAGAAAAAGCAUCGGCUAACUCCGUGCCAGCAGCCGCGGUAAUACGGAGGAUCCGAGCGUUAUCCGGAUUUAUUGGGUUUAAAGGGAGCGUAGGUGGAUUGUUAAGUCAGUUGUGAAAGUUUGCGGCUCAACCGUAAAAUUGCAGUUGAAACUGGCAGUCUUGAGUACAGUAGAGGUGGGCGGAAUUCGUGGUGUAGCGGUGAAAUGCUUAGAUAUCACGAAGAACUCCGAUUGCGAAGGCAGCUCACUGGACUGCAACUGACACUGAGGCUCGAAAGUGUGGGUAUCAAACAGGAUUAGAUACCCCCGUA